rnacentral:rRNA from 1 species
UACGUAGGGUGCGAGCGUUAAUCGGAAUUACUGGGCGUAAAGGGCGCGCAGGCGGCUCUGAAAGUCAGAUGUGAAAUCCCCGGGCUUAACCUGGGAAUGGCAUUGGUGACUGCACGGCUAGAGUGUGUCAGAGGGGGGUAGAAUUCCACGUGUAGCAGUGAAAUGCGUAGAGAUGUGGAGGAAUACCGAUGGCGAAGGCAGCCCCCUGGGAUAACACUGACGCUCAUGCACGAAAGCGUGGGGAGCAAACAGG